AAGCAACGCGCAGAACCUUACCAGCCCUUGACAUCCCGAUCGCGGAAGGUGGAGACACCCUCCUUCAGUUAGGCUGGAUCGGAGACAGGUGCUGCAUGGCUGUCGUCAGCUCGUGUCGUGAGAUGUUGGGUUAAGUCCCGCAACGAGCGCAACCCUCGCCCUUAGUUGCCAGCAUUUAGUUGGGCACUCUAAGGGGACUGCCGGUGAUAAGCCGAGAGGAAGGUGGGGAUGACGUCAAGUCCUCAUGGCCCUUACGGGCUGGGCUACACACGUGCUACAAUGGUGGUGACAGUGGGCAGCGAGACCGCGAGGUCGAGCUAAUCUCCAAAAGCCAUCUCAGUUCGGAUUGCACUCUGCAACUCGAGUGCAUGAAGUUGGAAUCGCUAGUAAUCGUGGAUCAGCAUGCCACGGUGAAUACGUUCCCGGGCCUUGUACACACCGCCCGUCACACCAUGGGAGUUGGUUUUACCCGAAGGUGCUGUGCU
rnacentral:rRNA from 1 species